rnacentral:rRNA from 1 species
CCUUUGCAGCUGGAACAGUAGCUGAGCGACUCUAAACAAUCUCAGCUUCAUGCAAGUCAGCGUUCUGCUGGCGACACUUUCGAAUUGCGGGGAACUCCUAAGAGCCCUUUACACCAAACCAGCGUGGGAAACCUGCUGGCGGCCCGUGGGAAACUACCGGGGUAUGGUAACAGUUAAAGGGAUGAACCAGCGCCGAAGAGGGCUGGGGAAAUGGACAAUCCGCAGCGAAGCCCCUUUCGUUGAUGGUGGUUCGGGUAGGAUUUUGUCGAGGCACUGCCCUUGACUCUUCCUUGCAACCGCCAAACAUGGGGAACGUUCACAGACUAAGUGGAAGUGGGUGGAGUGCAACGCGCUCUGCUUAAGAUAUAGUCGGGCCUCUUGGGAAACCCUGGGGAUAGAUCACUUAUAAGGCUCUUAUAAGCUGUUUCUUGCACCGUUCCGUAGGUGAACCUGCGGAAGGAUCAUU